UACGGAGGGAGCCAGCGUUGUUCGGAAUUACUGGGCGUAAAGCGCACGUAGGCGGCUUUGUAAGUUAGAGGUGAAAGCCCGGGGGCUCAACCCCCGGAAUUGCCUUUAAGACUGCAUCGCUUGAAUCCGGGAGAGGUGAGUGGAAUUCCGAGUGUAGAGGUGAAAUUCGUAGAUAUUCGGAAGAACACCAGUGGCGAAGGCGGCUCACUGGACCGGUAUUGACGCUGAGGUGCGAAAGCGUGGGGAGCAAACAGG
rnacentral:rRNA from 1 species